GCCGGGCGUCAUGGCAGGCGCCUGUAGUCCCAGCUACUCAGGAGGCUGAGGCAGGAGAAUGGUGUGAACCUGGGAGGCGGAGCUUGCAGUGAGCCGAGAUCACGCCACUGCACUCCAGCCUGGGCAACAGAGUGAGACUGUCUCAAAAAAAAAAAAAAAAAAAAAAAGUAUAAAAAUUUAAACCAUUAUAAAAGUAUGCCCAGCCAUUCUGUACUUUUUUUUUUUUUUUUUUUUUUUGAGACGGAGUCUUGCUGUGUCGCCCAGGCUGGAGUGCAGUGGCCGGAUCUCAGCUCACUGCAAGCUCCGCCUCCCGGGUUUUUACGCCAUUCUCCUGCCUCAG
rnacentral:SRP_RNA from 1 species